AUCAAGUGGAAUGCGUUAUAUUCAAUGUGGAGAUAAUGCAUUUUGCAGAUCUGUUUCGCCCUUUCUAUACUUACUUGGUGUCAGUUGCACAAGUCAAAGAAUCAAACUAUAUGUACGGAAAUCCACUUAACAAAUUUACAUGGACAAUUGAUAAGUGUACCAUUGUUGAGCCAAUAGAAACUGUUAAUCCUCCAGAAGAGCCACUACCUCCGCCAACGCGCCUAAAUCUUACACCAUUUGACAACUUUGAAUAUCAACCCGAAGGAUCUGAAUUCGAUGUGCUUGCCAUCGUGCUCAACACAAGUCCCUCAACCUAUGCUUCAAAUGGGCGGAGAAUUCAAGAUUUUAUCAUCAUGGAUGAUCAGUAAGUAUACAUAAACCUGUUUUAUUGGAUCCAACUAGCAACUGCUGAUUCAAGUAUGAUGUAAUGUGUCACUUUUCGUAUAUUGUCUAACAAUAGCCCACAAUAACUGAAACCGAAAUUCAAGUUGAGAUUGUACCCUUUUAAAGGAUGCUUUUCAUGCUUCAAUUCAAUUUUGGCUUUGCUGCAAUUAUAAUCUUUCAAAGCAUACUUAGAUCUACUACGCAUUCCUGGAAUUAUUAUGGUUUAAGCUUUUUACUACUAAUAAUAUUUGAUCAUAUCUUUAAAUAUAUUCUCAACAAUGCAAAGUUCUUAUCUUGUUGUUUCUCUUGCUAUAAGAAUCUAAGUAAAAUUAGGAUUGAUAUCAUAUUGCGCUUUUGAUUUUGUAAAUUUUAAUUUGGCUCAGCUUUUUUGCAAGUAAUUUAUGCUUUUCCAAAAUUAACUUCAAACUUUCAAUUUAUUUUGAUUUAUAUAUCAACAAUUGUUGGGAUAGCUGCAUAGAGUGACGAUGUUUGGUGGCUAAAAGUACACACCAAUCAAAGAGUCUAAAAACCAUAUCAUCGGCCUUUAACAUUUUAAAAAUCUUUAUUUGUUCUUCAAUAAAGUUAGAAGCAAUGAUCCAAACAAAGAAAUUUUAGUUAUGGCAAAAUCACUAAUUAGAAAGAAGCUAUUAAAAGCUAACUUAAAAAUUAUUUAAUGUUAUAUGCGUCAAAGAAUUAGAUUGUUGCUAAGAGUUAUUCAGAGAAAAAUAUAUUGCCUUCAAAUGUAGAAAUAUAACAUAAUUAAAUAUGUAGUUGCUUAUUUUUCUCUUUAACAAUGACUUUCUAAUUUACCCGUAGUUGUUCUUUAAUAAAGGUAGUGUUUCAAAAAUUAUGAUUAUAUUUAAAAAAUUUUACCUACUAUUAACUCAUCCGGGUUUACUAAAAAAAUCGAUCCUUUUGAUGUCAUGUUUAGCUAUUGGAUUUUAAACCAAACUAUAUUUCAAAAAUAUGUUUUUUUCCAUUCAAUACUUUGGAUUAAUAUUGACCAAAAUAUUCAUGUAAUUAGAAAGUUGCAUAAAGAAGAGCGACUUUGUCUCCUCUAAUUUUAUAUGUUUCUGAACAAAUAGAUAACCUAUCUCAAAUUAUAGCCAAUAUAAUCUCCCUCUUAUUAGGAAUUUAAGAUGUAGUAGUUAUUGCACAAAUUGUAUCAAAUUGAUGAAUCUUAUAUAUACUAGCUUUUAAUUAAAAGAAAUUAGAGUUAAACAUUUGAAUGUCUUUGAAGAAAAGCUAAUAAGUAGCUUAUAGAAAUUCUAUUCAAAGUAUUCAUGCAAUUGUGGAUUCCUAAGUACUAAAAGUUUGUAUAUCACAAACAUGCUUAUAAACUAUUGUAUUUCAAAUGUGCAAAUAUUACCAAUGCUGAAAGAUCUAAUAGAAGAAAGUAGCAUAUCAAUGUUACGAACAUCUCUAUUAAAUAUUCUUGUAAAAGGGAAUUAAGAUGUUAAAGAGAAGAGAUGUACACCUCGAGUCAUAUAACAAUUACAGGUAGACUCAUGGGUAGGCAAAUAAAGCCACAUAUAUUUAUGAUACAACAAAAGUGAUGCUAAAUGACUAGAUUGCUCUCAUGCAUUUUGAAAAAGACACUAAACAUUUAUCAGAUGCAUAGCAAAAAACAUGAGCAAAAUUGAAUAAAAACAAACCUGCAGGUAGAAGCAAUUUGAGGAAGAUGAAGAUGUCUCUAAGAAGCAACGAAAAUCUGAAAGUGCAAACAAAAUGGAGGAAACUAAUAUGUUGUCUAUGUAAAACUCACUUGGGCUCAUUUAAAACUUACACGUAGCAUUUUGUAUAGAAAAACUAAGCCACAUGUAUAGUAAAUUUGUAAGAAUUGGCGCGAAAGGACUAAUAUACCCUCGAGCUUUUUAGAAAUGACAUAAAACACAUGUCGCCAUUCCAGCUUUUCCUUAAGUUUCUUCUUCACUCUGGCCACUAGCUUUUACUUGAUAUCUACAAUUUUUUUAUUUGCUCUUUGGUUUUUGGGUUUUUUAUCAUAUAUGUGAAUUCUUCAGAGUUUCUUGGUGAUGCGAUUUUGAUGAUACGUGUUGGUUUUUGCAGUUUCCUUCUUUGUGUUUUUGGGCUCUGGUUACAUCGCAAUAUCAAAACUUAUUCAAAACAUCUUUAUGUUGAAACUAAUUGGAUCAUUGCUACAAUAAGUUGUGAAUUAUAUCUAUUUCUCUUUUAAUAAGCAUAAAGCAAUUCUACCAUCUAUUCUAGAUUUGAGACUUAUUGGCUCUUCGACAACAUAUGAUAGUUCAAACUAUUUUGCUUUAGAAGCUUUUGUUAGGGACCAAUAGUCAAGACCUCAGGAAAUAUCUGUUUUCUUCGAAACUGAUUGCAUUAUAGAAAUUUCUACACAUUAAGAUACCAAUAUGUGUUCAUUUUUUAAUCAUGUCUAAUAUUUAAAUGUUGUAAUUGAUGCUCAUUUAUGCUGCUUAAGCAUUGACAUUCCCAUGUUGAUUUAAGAUAGUGAUUUAACAAUUUUGUUCUAUUUUAUACUGCAAAAAACCAACGAAAUUCACACUCUGGGUCAAAUAUUCUACAUACAUGCUGAAGUCGCACUACAAAAUGAGAACCAACGAUUUUGUAUCCUACUUGUUCAGACUGCAAACAACACUUCACACGAGUUAUCUCACGGAGAAAGUUCUAUUGCACUAAUUGCUGUCAAGCUACCCAAUUGGUUCCCAGGUGCCAAUUUGAAAUGACGCUCACAGAUCAUAGCGGUUCUGCAACAACAACUAUUGUCGACGAGUAUGCAGAAAAAAUAUUGCUUCUCACUUCGGAAGAGAUUUAUAAUAUCUGCAAUGUCAAGAUGCAUUGUCAAUUUCGAAAAACCACAAAUAACUAUUUUCUACCAGUUGAGCCCCCUCUCAAAUAUAAAUAACUAAUUUCAUUUUUACAGAAAGGACUGUUGCCUCUUGCGAACGCACAAAAGCUACUGACUGGCAAGAUCUUCAAGAUUCAAAUAAAAAAGUUGUUUACAAGAAAUAAUGAGGCAGGAAAGUUAGUUAUUUUGUAUUUCAUAGAUAAAAGUAAUUCGGUUGUCUCACAAAUGUCGGACACCAUCAAGGAUGUUGCGGAAGGAAGUAAACAAAAAAUUGAACCCGCUGCCCCAGAGAAGCAAGAGCGCCCACACAUAACAACCAAAGGCAACGAUUCCUACAAAUGUAAGGCGGAAAUGAAAAUUUCCCCUCCGAAAAAUUGCUGAGAGCAUUUUUGCCAGUGAAACAUCUUUUGCUACUAUUUUGGGAUGCAAGUAAAGCCACAACUUGCUGUUGCUUUUGAAUACGGUUAAGCUCACUUUUACGACUGCUUUCUGGAUAUUCCUCUACUCGGAAUAUGUCGCAUCGACACGAGUUCGUGCUCUGUUUUUUGGUUGGUCAAUCCUUCUGGAGCAGCUUUUCUUGGGUACUCAGAGAUAUUUUUGGCGAAGAACUAACAGGAAAAGGAUCAGAAAAAAGACCAAAGACCGCAUAUGUAAAUAAUUGUAUCAUACAUGUUGUAACUGUUGUGGCACUUUAGACAUCCCUUAAUGUAAUGCUCUUGUGAACGCAUAUAUGUAAAUUAAGUGUGUACCACUUAACAUAAAAUAUUAUCUACUAGAUUCCAUACUUGCAUCAUUAAAUUUUGAGUUAAAUAACGUUGGGCCCGUGCUGGCACGGGCUACACUAUCCUAGUAUAUUAGAAGAGCUGGUUUUGGACAUGUCUGCUUACCUGUCUUUUAAUUUUUGUUUAAGGGCAUUUUGGACCUUUAACAGAAUCUAAUAAUCCAUGUCCUUUAAAUCCAAAACUGAACGGCCACCGCAUCAGUUCUUGCACUCAAUCACUUUAGAACGAAACAUGUGUUUGUGAUUAUCAGUUAAGAUAUGUUUUUUCUAUUUUCUUUGGUUCCAUCGCCUUUUUUCUCUCGCUUUGCUCCGACUUAAACAUUGUCGCAAUCCAAGAUGUAAUAAUCAGGGACAACUUCAGUACUGAAGAUCUCAACUAAGGUAAAAUACUAUUUUUAAGCUCUUGUACUUAAAGGAUCAUAAACCCUAUCCAAUAAACACUUUAUCUGCUUACCUCUAUGUUUUGUGGCAAAAAGUUUUGAUUGGGGUGUUUUUGUUUCUUUCGUGUUUAGUAAAUGGUUUUGAAUUUCUCAUAUUAAUUAAGAAUAAUUGUUUAAUGCUGAAGAAAGACCAGACCUUAUAACCCUCUCAAAGUGAGCUUUCCAAUCCGGCUAUCCCAGUCUUGUGCUCUCUCCUAUUGGAGGUUUUCAAUAUAUUAUUAGAACUGGAUAUGGAUUUGUAGUUAGCUUUUGUUGAAUAGACUUCGGGACUUCACUGAGAAGACUCAAACAUGACAAAAAUGUUUAUCACAGAUUUUGAGGAGGUUUCAGCCUUUCAGGUAAGGUUCAUCUCAUAUCUUAAAGGACCCAAUUUGUUGCUUUUUUGUAAAUAGAGACUUGGGUUGUUAUAUCCCAUUCGUCGUCUUCUCUUAAGAUUUAGAAAAUAUGAAUGGUGCCUCUAUUUUCAGAAGUUCAAAAUAGAUCACAUCGCGUAAAUUGCGUAAAUAUCUGGUAUGAUAACCACCGCACCAUCUUGCUUUUCUUUUCCACCUUUCUCAAAAGUGUUCUACAUUUCAUCUUCUCGGAUGAUUGCAACGCCAUUUAUGCCUAUUUUCUCUCUGCUAUUUACUCUCUGUAACUUUUCUGUUGUUCAGUCCUUUGUUUUGUUUGUGAAUGCUUACAGUUUCAACUUGCAUAUUGUAUUAGAACUUCAAGAUGGGAAUCCAUCACUGCUAGAUCUGGGUUCAACCCUUUGUUCCGAGCAUACUGUUUGUGAAAUGAGAGGAAUGAAAAAGUAUUGCUGAAAUGUCGGAUAGAAAUCUGAAAAAUGGUCAAAACUUCGAAAAAGUACAUUCCGACGAAAAGGCUAGGCGACACUAAUUAUAUAGAAUGAUGCAAGAUGAUAAAAUAGAGGCUCUCUUAACACGUGCACGAGCAAACAAAGCUGAAUGAGUAGAUACAUCUGGCUGCCAGUUGAGUUAUGCAUAUGAUUUUUAAGUUCUCUUCAUAUUCUUUGGUGUAACUAUUAUAUGUAUGUGAUUAUUUUUUUAAUGGGUCUACGGAUAUUUUUUUUACCUAAUAAUAAACACUAUUGAGCAAUUAUAGAGUUCAGCGGAAGGCAGCUAACAAGAUAGCCUUGCAU